rnacentral:tRNA from 1 species
CUCUAUAGAAGCUUUAAGCACUGGCCUUUUAAGCCACCCAAGGGGCCAGCACCCCCAUAGAG